GGCAAUGUGGCAUAGUGGAGUGUUGGACUAGGAUUCUGGAGAUCAGGGUUCAAAUCCCUUCUCAGCCA